rnacentral:tRNA from 1 species
GCUGGGUUGGUUAGACGGCGUAAUUUGUCGCUUGCCAAGGUUGGGGUCGAGCGUUCGAAUCGCUUCACCCGCUCCA